rnacentral:rRNA from 1 species
KCGAUGUGCAGACGGGUGAGUACGCGUGGAACGUGCCUUUCACUACGGAAUAGCUUUUGGAAACGAAAGGUAAUACCGUAUACGCCCUCCGGGGGAAAGAUUUAUCGGUGAAAGAUCGGUCCGCGUUAGAUUAGCUAGUUGGUGAGGUAACGGCUCACCAAGGCUACGAUCUAUAGCUGGUCUGAGAGGAUGAUCAGCCACACUGGGACUGAGACACGGCCCAGACUCCUACGGGAGGCAGCAGUGGGGAAUAUUGCACAAUGGGCGCAAGCCUGAUGCAGCCAUGCCGCGUGAAUGAUGAAGGCCUUAGGGUUGUAAAAUUCUUUCGCCAAGGAUGAUAAUGACAGUACUUGGUAAAGAAGCCCCGGCUAACUUCGUGCCAGCAGCCGCGGUAAUACGAAGGGGGCUAGCGUUGUUCGGAAUUACUGGGCGUAAAGCGCACGUAGGCGGACUUUUAAGUCAGAUGUGAAAUCCCGAGGCUCAACCUCGGAACUGCAUUUGAAACUGGGAGUCUAGAGAUCAGGAGAGGUUAGCGGAAUACCGAGUGUAGAGGUGAAAUUCGUAGAUAUUCGGUGGAACACCAGUGGCGAAGGCGGCUAACUGGACUGAUACUGACGCUGAGGUGCGAAAGUGUGGGGAGCAAACAGGA